rnacentral:lncRNA from 1 species
GGAUUAAAGGCGUGUACCACCAGCGCCCGACAGAUGGGGCUUUAAAGACAGAAAAUUUUAUCAAGACCUCCACAAACCAGACCCCAGAUUCCCUCAAUCGUUGAGUGAGUCCCGGGACUCGCUCCACAGGGCCAGGAUGUUCAGGGACCUAGGCUGAGCUGUCAGUGUGAGGUGACUGAGUGGGAUGUGAGGUGUCUGAGUGGGGUGUGAGGUGUCUGAGUGGGGUGUGAGGUGACUGAGUGGGGUGUGAGGUGACUGAGUGGGGUGUGAGGUGACUGAGUGGAGUGUGAGGUGACUGAGUGGGAUGUGAGGUGCCUGAGUGGGGUGUGAGGUGUCUGAGUGGGGUGUGAGGUGACUGAGUGGGGUGUGAGGUGACUGAGUGGGGUGUGAGGUGACUGAGUGGGGUGUGAGGUGACUGAGUGGAGUGUGAGGUGACUGAGUGGAGUGUGAGGUGACUGAGUGGGAUGUGAGGUGCCUGAGUGGGGUGUGAGGUGUCUGAGUGGGGUGUGAGGUGACUGAGUGGGGUGUGAGGUGUCUGAGUGGGGUGUGAGGUGACUGAGUGGGGUGUGAGGUGCCUGAGUGGGGUGUGAGGUGUCUGAGUGGGGUGUGAGGUGACUGAGUGGAGUGUGAGGUGACUGAGUGGGGAUGUGAGGUGUCUGAGUGGGGUGUGAGGUGCCUGAGUGGGGUGUGAGGUGACUGAGUGGGGAUGUGAGGUGUCUGAGUGGGGUGUGAGGUGCCUGAGUGGGGUGUGAGGUGACUGAGUGGGGUGUGAGGUGCCUGAGUGGGGUAUGAGGUGACUGAGUGGGGUGUGAGGUGUCUGAGUGGGGAUGUGAGGUGUCUGAGUGGGGUGUGAGGUGUCUGAGUGGGGUGUGAGGUGACUGAGUGGAGUGUGAGGUGCCUGAGUGGGGUAUGAGGUGACUGAGUGGGGUGUGAGGUGUCUGAGUGGGGUGUGAGGUGACUGAGUGGAGUGUGAGGUGACUGAGUGGGGUGUGAGG